ensembl:snRNA U6 U6 spliceosomal RNA
GUGCUCACUUCAGCAGCACAUAUAUGAAAAUUGGAAUGAUACAGAGUAGAUUAAGAUGGCCCCUGCACAAGGAUUACAUUAAAAUUCAUGAAGCCUUCCAUAUUUUU